rfam:Triticum aestivum genome assembly, contig: Triticum_aestivum_CS42_TGACv1_scaffold_361156_4DS
CAUAUAGUCCCUCCGUUCCAAAGUUCUUGUCUUAGAUUUUUCUAAAUACAAAUGUAUCAAGUCACGUUUUAGUAUUAGAUACAUCCACAUCUAGAUGAAUCUAGGAAAAGAAUUUUAGGACGGAGGUUGUAUUUU